CCGUCGUGACAAAGAAGUAGAACUGCAUGGUAGAUGCUCAUUCGUGAGUAUUAGUUAUAAACUUAUAGGUUAUGCGUCCUUAGUCCUCCACUUGUAAACAACUUUCUGCAGCGGACUUGCGUCAGCCCACACGUGUCGCCAGCUGCCUCGGAGGUACAUGCUGUCUUGUUUUCUUUCAUGGCCGCGAUAUAACCGCAUUUGUUAGUCCCGUGAGUCUCAAAAUGCUACUUGCAUUCGCCGGAGCAACAUAAGGUGGCGUCGUUAUAAAACUCAAGUCUGGGAGGGAAGUUAGAAGAUUCAGCAGAACAGGCAGGUUGAGCUGCCCUCACAUGGCUCAAACAGCGACUGAGCUGUUCAGCACCACGGAGAGCUCCCUGUUCGUUUACGCACUCACAUCCUAAGUGUCGAACAAGGACGUGACUGCAAACUGAGGAAUCUUACUGACAGAAAAGCGACGCUGGAAGAGGAAGAGGAGGGAGUGAUGUGAAGGAGCUGUUGCUGCAGCAGAGACCAGGCACACCGCAUGGGGAAACCCGGGAGCUGUCCAGCAGCAAUGGAGAGAACAAUGACAACAUGAGUGAAGAUGGAAACGGGGUGACUUAGGAGCUCAGGUGGACUUGACUGCUGCUGCUGGAGCCUUCAGCUGGGCGCCGGUGAGAAAAGGUGACCUACGAUUUGGAUGUAUGCACCGAGGAUCGACUGAAAGAGGGACCGACCGAUCGACCUUCCUUCCUCCCCCUUUCCUCUGUCCUCCCUCACCUUCUCUCUCUCUCUUCUCCAUCUUGAGACAGGAGAUGUUCACGAACAAGUUGAAUCAGACGUGAUAACAAACUGUUCCUCACUUUGUCUUCACAGUUAAUGGAUGACGAACAAUGAGAUACACACAUGGACAGGAGGCUGAACAUGCUCAUGGGUGGCUCUUCAGCUGGACACACACAUGGCAGAUCCUGUGACCUUGUUACCGCCGUCGGACCGCAGCUAUUGGACUGCGAGGACGUGGCCGUGACGUGACUGUGGACUUUCAAAACAUCUGAUAGACCGUGUGCCUGUGUAUGUGUGUGUGUGUGUGUGUCAUUAGUAAAAAUAAAUAAAAUUAUAUAUAUUUUUGAAAUCCAUUUAAAGACAAUGUGAUGCUACUAUCUUUCUUACAUAAAUUGUGCCAGGGAAAUGUAAUUUCCCUGGCACAAUUAAACAUUAAGUCUAUUGUUUUAAUGUUAAGAAAUUGCCUGCAUAUAUUUGUUGAAUAAACAGCCUUAUGUCAGAGCCUGUGUGUUGAUUAUUAUGUAUUAUUAUUUAAUUCAGCUAUGUGAUAUUGGCUGUGUUGAGGUUGCAGGAUGUAAAUCGGUAUUAAAAAAUAUUUUAAACAUGUGUUUUUUAAAGAUUACUUUGUAAAAGAUGAGAAUUUAACACGACAUUUGUAAAUGUAUUUUAUGUCUGCUGUAUGUAAGGGUGAUUGAGAGACAGCUAGUCACUAUACUCUUAAUUUUACCCUGUUUGAAGCUGUUACACAACUUGCUGCUCCUUCUCGUCAGUGUCACGUUGACUUCGAUCUCUUCUCUUCUGUCAAAGAAUACGAGCAGCUGCAUUAUGUCUACAAGCAAACAAUCUUAUUCGUAUACUUUUGUCCCUCUGCUGAGUACAUGACAGCCCUCGUUUUGUCUCGCAGACCUUUUAUUUGUCACAAUUUUACGUUUAAUUUGCGUGUGUGUGAGAGAGAGAGGAAGCAUGGCGGCAGAUGGGUGUGCUGGAGACUCCAAAAGCUGCUGCAAAUAGCCUUUCGGGGUCGGAGUUGGGGAAACAGAGCACAUACUGCCGAGCUUAAAAUCAUGGCAGUCUGUUCUUGUGAAACAUCUGGACUCUGUAAGCAUGACUGGCUCAUUUGUGUGUAUGAAAAUGUAGACAAAACAAUAAAAUAAAGCGACGGAACAUUCA